CUCCUCCAAAUCUUUCGGGUAAGGUAUGGAUUCUCACCUGUUUUUCGUGCUCUAGCUGGUGGUUGGAUAGGUUUUCUUCAAUUUUAGCCGUAGAUUGCCCAGUUUGUGAAUUGAAAUUCUGCCGAGUUUCGGCCCCCGUGAUCGGCCAUUUUCGGCCACUUUUUGGGGUAUGUCCAAGAACAAAAGUGGCUCCAAAUGUGGUGUUAUACCUAGGAUAGGAGUUUGGAGUCUUGUUUCCGAGUUUUUCCGACAACCCGGUAUCGCUUUGGACACCCAAUCUGCCCACGCGUGUGGCGGCGCGUGGGUGAGGGUGGUAAAGAGACUCUGUGUAGUUUUACGAUCCUCGUGCUGUCACGAGCGCGUAGGAUUUCGCGGAUCUCGAUUCGGAGUCCGUUUGAGCCCCGAACGGAUUUUCCAUAUUGCGCAAUCCUUGGGUGCAGUGUCUUCGAGUCGUUGGAUCGCACUCAAUUUUGGAUAUGUCGUACUACAUGAUUCCAGGAUCGUGUAGGAUUCGACGGAUUACGAAUCGGAGUCCCGGAUACUCCGAAAUCGCGAACCCUAGGGCUAGGGUUUGGAUUUUAAGCGAUAACGCGAUUUUGGCUAAUCCGACUGUCCGUUUCGGACCAAAUUCGCGGAACAUGGUUCUUUCUCUAUGAGGAACCUUUAGAGAAUCUCAGAUUGGCCAUCGGGGAUCGUGGACCCCACGGGGUCCCGGAUCGACCCGUCUGACGGUUUACCGUGUAGUCUAAUUUCGGGUCUUCCAAGACCGCUCUAAGUGUCUGAAAAGCUAAAGUGAGCAUAGGAGUAACUUGAAAUAAGUGCACGCACUUCUAGAAGCCGGGGGCAGGGUGUUUAAUUUAAUUCUUUUUAUUCAGCAGUUUAUUAAUUUAUUAUUCUUGGUUAAUCAGGCACUAGAGAUCCGAUCGACCCGCAGGAGGGACCUUCGAAGGGUCCAACUAGCUCGGACCAUCAGUGAGUGGACUUUUCUUUCCGAAAAAGAUUUUAUAAUUAUAUUUUAUAUUUGAUCUUGAAUAAGUGUUAUUACGUAAUUUCGAAGCAUGAUUUGCAUUGUGAAAUAUCUUUAUUUUUAUAAUAUUGGUUGAGCAGUAAACUUGAGACUUUUGAUACAAAGAUAGUAAUUUAGUUCAGACUUAUCAGAUUUCAGAGAGUUAUCAGAAUUUCUAGUUAAACCACCAUGUACCCAUCUAUUUAUGGUGAUUACCCACAGUCGGACCGAUGUCUACGGACAUCCAGUUUGAUUUCAGUUACAUCAGUGCACUUGACUUUGCCUCACGAGUUUCGGGGACGCUCGGACCGUGAGUGCCAGGAUUUGCGGCUCGGCAGACUUGGUGUCCCGAAACCUGCCAGGAUUUGCGGCUCGGUUGACUCUGUGUCCCCGAGACCUGCCAGGAUUGCGGAUCAGGCUGACUGCGGUCCCCUGCAUCCUGCCAGAGCGGCUCGAGUCGACUUGGUGUCAUCGAGGCCUGCCGGCGGAUCAGGCUGAUCAUAGUCCCUUGAUUUCGCCAGUUUGCGGCUCGGGUAGACUGCGUGACGCCCGAGACCUGCCAGGGGAAUUGACGGAUAUGACAGGGGUACAUCUAGGUGGUAGUUUCAAAGGAUUUUGAGCUCUUUUAUCCAGUUAUGAUUUCCCGUGAUUUUAUACCAGUUUCUUGAUAUUCAUGCGUUAUUAUCUUUAUAUAUAUUUGAUCAGUUGUGCAAGUCUAUUCGUCAGUAUAUUUAUUCAUGUUUAUUGAAUUCCUUAUAUUGAAAUAUAGCUAAAUUAACGAUUUAUAUCCCUAGUAUUUCAAAACGGGGGUUAUUAUGUUCUAACUUGUUUUUUUUAAAGAACUUUAUUUUUGUCCACUCACAAUUUUAAACUUGUUUUUCGCCCCCAGGCCGUAGAAAUACGAAGGAAACCACUCGGGCCAUCUUCCCAGCUUCUGCCCCACCACCCAAGUGUAGGAUUUCAUUGUAAAUUUCUUAAAGUUCUGUAAAUGUGCAGAAAUGCUCUGAUAUCUAGUUGGAA
rnacentral:lncRNA from 1 species